rnacentral:lncRNA from 13 species
GUACUCCAGCUCUUCACAGUGAUGUGUGUUCAAUGAGGACAGUUCCUCUUUCUCUCCUCCUCCUCCUCAUCCCACUCUUGAACUUCCUCUCUAUCUAACAUCCCUCUAUUCAAGCUGACCUCCUGAGUAUCUACCAUGCCCACUGUAGAUGGCCUGCCUCACCCACUCAGUCCCUACUUUAAACUAUCCACACCUCAUAGGGAGGCCAAGUCUUCAUUUCAGACCCUCAAACAGACUGACACUAAUCUACCAUCAAAGCUCUCAUUCUUCAUUUCCCACCUUUAUCCACUCUAUCCUGUAGACUCCAUCUGUCGUCUCUCUCCUCUCUUCCUCACUUCCUCUCUCUCUGUCUCUGUCUCUCUCUCUCUUCUUCUCUCUCUCUCUCUCUCUCUCUCUCUCUGUCUCUGUGUGUGUGAACAUAAUGUGCCAGCUGAGCCAAAGUGGAUCAUCCAGACGUUGUUCUGUUAAAUUACUACGGAGAGGACCAGACUUGGAGUUGACUGGCUGUCAGAGUUGACUGCUUCUGAACAGAACCAUGUUUUUGAGUUGACCUCAUUGGAUUUGAAAGUCAUUGUUUUUUAGAUGAAAAACUAUUUUUUUUUUGUAUCCAAAGUGGGACCAACUGUUAAACACAGUAACACCAAAUGUUGACCAAACUUUAUUAAAAAAGUUAACCAGUGACGACACUGCCUAAACCAGGAUAUGCUGUGUGAGUGGGACCCUGGGAAUGAUGAACUGGAAUAUUGUAACUGGUCUGCUACGCCCUCUACUGGGAUCAUACUGGUUAGACUGGUCCAACUGGGCUGUAACACCUGACACUCUGGGAGUAAUCUGACCAUAUCUGGAAUUAACUGGACUGUGUCUGGUGGUUUACCUUUGUCUUAAAAGGCAAUCAAAAGGAAUUGUGGGAAACACACUGAGGGUACUUCCUCACUUCACCUCACACGCACCGAACCACAUCGGCUGAUUGACAGAUGCUCCUCACCAACCAGGUGUGCAGGUACAGUAUUUAGACUGUCUGCUGAGCACUUAACCAGGCGAGGACCUCUACCAAUGAGAAGAGGCCUAAAGCUGGUGUUUGUUUGAAUAGAGGUUUUUGUUUUAGUGCAGUAAAGAUUCUGCUUUAGGUGUUUCAGUUAAAUAUUGAUGUUUUGUAGAGGUCCUGUAAUGUUGGCAUCCAUUUUGAUUAUUUGAAACAUCCUGAAAAAAUUUACAUUUUUACAUGGCUGAACUUUUUUUUAUACAAAUGUUUACAGGUGUAGAUUAACUCCAAUUGUUGUUUAUAGUGCUAUCAAGAAUAACUAAAGCACUUUAGUACAGGUUACCCCCGUAUUUUUCUUUAAGUUAGAAAACAUACAUUUUUUCAUUAAACAAAUAGCAUUAAAAAAUGCAAUUGUAUUAUCAAAGCAAUUUAAAUGAAUACAUUUAAUUUUGAUUGUCAUAUCUUUUUUCUGUUGGUUAGAUAUGAUUUCAUGUUCCAUUCACAGAAGUAAUAUAUCACUAAAUUGCAUUUAAAGUAGAAGCAUGUUACAAAUAUCACAAACCUAACAAAUAUACAUGUUUUAUUUUCAAAAGUGAGAGAUUUAACUGAAAUUAUUCUUAUUCAUUUAAUCCCACAAAAACGAGUGUAUAUUUAAUUCAAUUCAUAAUUCUGAUAAAUUGCUUAUCUUAAUCCAACAUAAUUAAUCAUUAUUAAAUACAGGCUAUUCGGGGAUGCAGUUUUUCCCACAUUCUGAUGUCUUUGGUAACAGCAUUUAGAAAACAAUGUUUUCUUUCCGAAAUAAAUAUGUUGACUCAUAGUUAUGCCUGUAAGCACUUACUCAGAGAGAUGAGUCUGUAGUAUUACUUUACACACACAGUUGGAUAACAAUAUGCUUCAAUGACAGUUCAAUAUUUUGUUCUAGUCUACGCAGGUUAUUCAGGAAUGUAAUGAUUAUUCCAGGGGUUUAAACACUGAUGGCUGGAACCUUGUUGUAUAAAGUUGGAGCUCCCAGAUGUAGUUUUUUUGUUUUCACAUUUUAGUGAAGUAUGAAACAUCUUCUAUGAAGAGCGAACUGCAAACAGCCCUUUUAUACAAGGUGAGAUGACAAAAUAAAGAUGAUUGCAAUAAGACUGUGGAAAUUUCUUAACUUUGCUAUUUGUGGUUUUUGGCGGUUUAUUUGUCUUCCUUCUUGUUUCUUUGUUUUACUACAGGAAGUUCUAUAAUCAAGACGAAUUUAGACAGUAUACACACACACACACACACACACACACACACACACACACACACACACACACACAUACAAAUACACACCUUUAUUUAUGGAAUACAAACAUAUGUUCAAUGCACAGGAUUAUGUUCGUUGUGAGACCUCUGAGGCUCCAGAUGACCUUGUGGUUUGAAAGGCCAUUGUAACCUGAGAAAACCAAUGGCAUAUUGAUCUGAGUUUAUAUUUGAUGUACAGUCGGCAGAACACCGAUAAGACCAAGACACUGCAUACUCCUGGGAGUACUCCUUCAUACAUCAUAGCUCAUACAGUAUAUGUANNNNNNNNNNAGGUUAUUCAGGAAUGUAAUGAUUAUUCCAGGGGUUUAAACACUGAUGGCUGGAACCUUGUUGUAUAAAGUUGGAGCUCCCAGAUGUAGUUUUUUUGUUUUCACAUUUUAGUGAAGUAUGAAACAUCUUCUAUGAAGAGCGAACUGCAAACAGCCCUUUUAUACAAGGUGAGAUGACAAAAUAAAGAUGAUUGCAAUAAGACUGUGGAAAUUUCUUAACUUUGCUAUUUGUGGUUUUUGGCGGUUUAUUUGUCUUCCUUCUUGUUUCUUUGUUUUACUACAGGAAGUUCUAUAAUCAAGACGAAUUUAGACAGUAUACACACACACACACACACACACACACACACACACACACACACACACACACACACAUACAAAUACACACCUUUAUUUAUGGAAUACAAACAUAUGUUCAAUGCACAGGAUUAUGUUCGUUGUGAGACCUCUGAGGCUCCAGAUGACCUUGUGGUUUGAAAGGCCAUUGUAACCUGAGAAAACCAAUGGCAUAUUGAUCUGAGUUUAUAUUUGAUGUACAGUCGGCAGAACACCGAUAAGACCAAGACACUGCAUACUCCUGGGAGUACUCCUUCAUACAUCAUAGCUCAUACAGUAUAUGUACAGUAGUUAUUUGUAUUCCUAUCAAGACCGAUAUGCAACAAUGAAUACAGUAAUAUCAGCAUUUGUUUAAGAUCCACUUACAUCUAAAUAACCUAUGUUUGUGCAGUUGGGCCACGACCAUUAGACCUGAUGGCGUGUUUCUGUACCUGAGCUUAGCUUGCUAAUGUCGCCAUGACAUCACUUACAAGCGUGAUCAGGGAUUUAUGUUGGAGAAACCGUUUUUGCCUAUCUUUGGCCUAUAUGUUUGAAAAUACAUUCAUGUAGGUUUUAAAUUAUAGCCCCAGACAUCCAAUAUCCCUGGAUAUGAUGGCUAAUGUCUCUUAUUUCAUGGUUUAUAAUCUCAUCUGAUUUGUAUUUAUUAUGGAUCCCCAUUAGUUCCUUCCAAGGCAGCAGCUACUCUUCCUGGGGUCCAACAACAUUAAUGCAGUUAUAUAUGAUUAAGCAAUAAGGCCCAAGGAGGUGUGGUAUAUGGCCAAUAUACCACAGCUAAGGGCUGUUAUUAUGCACGACGCAACGCGGAGCCCUUAGCUGGCCAUAUACCACAAACCACCCGAGGUGCCUUAUUGAUAUUAUAAACUGGUUACCAAUGUAAUUAGAGCAGUAAAAAUACAUAUUUUGUUGUACCUAUGGUAUAUGGUCUGAUAUACCAUGGCUGUCAUUACAAAUAAUACAUGACAUUACAUUUUAUAACACCCAAUACAUUUAGUGUGUUCCCUCAGGACACUGAUGUCUGUCACAGAUAAUACAUGCUCUUUAGGAUUGGUUCUGGGUUCGACCAUAAUACAUGCUCU